rnacentral:rRNA from 2 species
GACGCAAGUCUGAUGGAGCAACGCCGCGUGAGUGAAGAAGGCUUUCGGGUCGUAAAACUCUGUUGUUGGAGAAGAAUGGUCGGCAGAGUAACUGUUGUCGGCGUGACGGUAUCCAACCAGAAAGCCACGGCUAACUACGUGCCAGCAGCCGCGGUAAUACGUAGGUGGCAAGCGUUAUCCGGAUUUAUUGGGCGUAAAGCGAGCGCAGGCGGUUUUUUAAGUCUGAUGUGAAAGCCCUCGGCUUAACCGAGGAAGUGCAUCGGAAACUGGGAAACUUGAGUGCAGAAGAGGACAGUGGAACUCCAUGUGUAGCGGUGAAAUGCGUAGAUAUAUGGAAGAACACCAGUGGCGAAGGCGGCUGUCUGGUCUGUAACUGACGCUGAGGCUCGAAAGCAUGGGUAGCGAACAGGAUUAGAUACCCUGGUAGUCCAUGCCGUAAACGAUGAAUGCUAGGUGUUGGAGGGUUUCCGCCCUUCAGUGCCGCAGCUAACGCAUUAAGCACUCCGCCUGGGGAUUACGACCGCAAGGUUGAAACUCAAAGGAAUUGACGGGGGCCCGCACAAGCGGUGGAGCAUGUGGUUUAAUUCGAAGCAACGCGAAGAACCUUACCAGGUCUUGACAUCUUUUGAUCACCUGAGAGAUCAGGUUUCCCCUUCGGGG